rnacentral:rRNA from 1 species
AAAUUGAAGAGUUUGAUCAUGGCUCAGAUUGAACGCUGGCGGCAGGCCUAACACAUGCAAGUCGAGCGGUAGCACAGAGAGCUUGCUCUCGGGUGACGAGCGGCGGACGGGUGAGUAAUGUCUGGGAAACUGCCUGAUGGAGGGGGGUAACUACUGGAAACGGUAGCUAA